rnacentral:rRNA from 1 species
CCCUUAGAUGCUCUGGGCCGCACGCGCGCUACACUGGUCGAUGCAACGAGUUUCUUUCCUUGGCCGACAGGCCUGGGCAAUCUUUGAACAUCGAUCGUGAUCGGGAUAGAUUCUUGUAAUUUUGGGUCUUCAACGAGGAAUUCCUAGUAAACGCAAGUCAUCAGCUUGCAUUGAUUACGUCCCUGCCCUUUGUACACACCGCCCGUCGCACCUACCGAUUGAAUGGUCCGGUGAAAUCUCGGGACGGCGGCUUGGUCGCUUGCGUCCGACUGCUGAAACUUGAUUAAACCAUAUCAUUUAGAGGAAGGUGAAGUCGUAACA